CCUAGGUCAGGGAGGCAGAGGCCAUGGCGUGGCGGCCAUCCCACGGCGCCAUGGCCGGAUGGCCACCACGUCGACUCCCCUCGGCCUAUAAGAGCGUCCCCUGGAAACCCUAGCUAGCUCUCGACCGAUCCCCUCACUUUCCCAAUCGAAUCGCCUCCUCCUUGGCUCGGAAUCGAGCCCGGAACCUCGCGUGGUGACUGUACACCUCGUCGCCGUUGCCGCGGACAACGUGCUCUCUGGCGCCCGUGGAUCCGUCCAGGAGGACCGCCACCCUCGACUUCGUCUUCCCCGAGCAACAAGUGGAGCUGGGACGUCUCGUACAUUCGCCAUCGACACCGUCAUCUCCGCGUACAUCUUCGCCGUCCGCCGUCGUUUGCCGCUACUCCGAUUUGAUCUGAAAUUUGAGAGUUGUGUAAUGGCGAGCAACUGGCAUUUGAUAAGGUGAGAGAUCAUGUCAGUUAUUGUGAAGAGGUUGUGCGUUCAAAAAUUCCGUCGUGCGGCUAUUGAUUUGGAAAUUCUGAGGAUGUGGAGAGGAAGCAACAACGAUGGCAAGAAUAAUUUCUAGGAUUAAUAGGACGAUGGAUCCCGCCAUCGAGUAUGAUUCAGUAUGAUGUGAAGGCUUACAUUUCACUCGGGAGAGGCUCUGAAGGAGAUAAUGGCAGGGAUCCAUGAGGGGAGAUCAAUGCCAUGUUUGAGCUGCCUAAUAUGUGCAACAGAUGCAAAACAUGUCUUGAUUUGCCACCAUGUUGCAAUUACAAGAGUAGUAACUGAUUUAGUACUAUGUUAAUGCCACAAUUCCACGUUUUGAACAGGACAAGGUGACACUGAACAGUACACACUCAAAUGUAGAUUAACUUCGGCCAUCUCAUGCAGUCAUGCUUUGUAUACACACACGUAGUCUAAUGAAUAAGUACCAGGGCCUUGGAAAAAAUAAUUUACGUUAUACGCUAAGGUUCUGGAGUGAACAUUUCAAAUGCCAUGUACAGUUCAGAAUAGCUAACGCUAGCGAGCUGCAAUAAGGUUAUGUCACUUAUCACCAAGGGGGCGAUUAAAUCCUAAUCGUCAGGAUCUAUACCAGCACUUAUUCAUUGUCUUGCCUUGAUCUAUUUUAUUUUGUACAUCCUUCGGGUAAUACAAGCUA